GAGAUUAAUGACCACGAUCUAGAAUGACUCCUCAUUUUUGUUGGGUCAUAAUAAGACGGAUUUGUGUCAUGUGAGGGGUAAAUUAGGAACCGUCACCUACCGUUUUAGUGAGCGGAUUUUAUGGGAUUUAUUAAUAUUGACAGCAAAAUACAUUUUCAUUUCCUACGCUAGAUAUUAGGUGAGAGACAAAAGGUUUAUCAUUUCUUCAAAGCAAAACACAAAAUCAUUCACUCCUAAACCAAAAAAACCCUUGUAAUUUAUUUCACACGCUUCAGCAAAAUCGGCGAUAUCUCUCAACAGCGACGCUUCUUUAGCAACGACGACCGCUCGCUCUGCCGGAGCAGGGAUCGUGGACGGUAAAGUUUAUGAAAGGAUGAAGGUGAACAAGAAAGAAGCACAAAACCAACCUCCGAAAAAUGCCGCUCAAUCUAGUUGGAGAACUUUGAAGAACAAUUGAGAGGGAAUCAUUGAUGGCAAAGGCGAGGCCUAAGCAAAUAUGAAUGGUCCCAAAAAAGUUAACAUGGGUGAGAGAAGGCCAUUGGAAUUGUGGACUAUCGACUAGAUAUAAUGGUGUGCUUCAGUAUUUAAGAGCUAAAAACUAUUGUGUUGAAGUUGGCCAAAAAUAAUCACAGCUCCCUUUUCAUAAAACAUCGACAUCCAAACAUUAUGCAACGGACAACAAGAAAAUGAUGAUCGGCGUUGAAAAGAUGAUAGCAAGCUACAGAGCUUCUGUGAUGGCCUUGUCAUAAAUUUUGGAUUUAAAGUAUGUUUCAUUGAUAUAAUUAUGUGCGUAUUUAACAUAUGAAUUUUCAAACAUUUUAUUUCUUCAAUGGGUGAUACUUUAAAAUGACAUUGGAUUUUA